rnacentral:pre_miRNA from 1 species
GUGCAGCUGGAAUGGGGGCUGUUUCACUGUAAGAGAGUGAGUAGUAGGUCUCACAGUGAACCGGUCUCUUUUCUUACUGUAGC